GCGAAGGAUGAUAGAGGGGAUAGAGGUGAGAUUUACUGAUCGAUUGAUUGACUCCAAUAACCAUCCAUGAAAUGUUAAAGGUUUUUUUAUCAUUCACACUCUUUACAUAUAUGUCUGUGUAUGUAUUUAGGUUUUGGUAUUUGUUUUGGAGGGUCUUGUGAUGAUUGAUAUCGUAUAGGUUUGUGUUGUGUUGGAUCAAAGCCCAGCUUCAUGUCUUAACAAAGUGAACUAGAACGAGAUGAUAAAAAUGGGUGACGAAGUCUCCAAACUAGCUACCAUGAGCACACAGAAUCAUGGACAGCCAAGUACACUCACUUGCCUUUUCUAGACUCCAUUUGUUUUAGCUCUGUUUUAUAUGAAAAUGGGCUUAUGUAGAUUACUUUUUAUGAUGUAAACUGUUUUGUAUUGAGAGAAACAGAACCUUAAGAGAAAUGUUGGGUUAAUUUGGUAUUGGAAGAUGCAUUGUACAAGCUGAGUUCCAUACUAAAUAUUUGAUGCAUACACAAUGGCAAAUUGUUGGGUUUAGUGCAUUAUGUUUUAAAAAACUGGAUUUGCGUUGGUGUA